rnacentral:lncRNA from 1 species
GGCUAUCCAGAGGGUGAAUGAGCUUUUUUCUGGAACAAAUGUGUCGAGCUAGGGCUGAAUCCAAACUUCUGCAUUGAAGAUGUUGGUAAGGAAGAAAGUGGCUCCGCUCAAUUCCUUAUGCACCGGAUGAAAACUGGCUAACAUUGGGGCUUUAAAUACUGCUCAUGGAUUGAACGUGUCAGCCCUCUUUAAGCCUUAAUUUUGGCAGCCCAUCAUAGGCCCAAGAGUGGUAUGAGAAGUCUACUGCCAUAGAUGAUAUGUGAGUGCCAAGUAUGGUCAUGGAGUUAUGAUGUAAAGGAUUAGAUACUAUCAAAACGUUCUUUUGGACUUGCAUUAUAUACCAAGGCCUGCAGAAACUGGACCUGGAUAGGGGACUGGUACGUUUUCUUUAUCUUUUAUUUGGUUCAACUUUCGAUAUAAAUUUUGCUCAAGAACC